UCAAGCUAGCCUGGUGGUACGCAGACCUCUCAAUUUCUAUGCUAUGCAAGAAAAAGAGAGGAUAAUAAUACGAGCUUAACAUGUGGGCUCUUAUUGCAGGGGCUGCAACAGCCCAGGUUGCUGGCAGAGAUAAAGGAGUGUGCAUUGGGGAACCUACACUUUGUUAGCAGCACAGCUAAAGAAUUUACUCAUCUUUUAAUGCAGAGAAAGCAAGGAGAAACAAAGUCAUUGCAGAUCCACGUCCGGUUAAUUGGAAUAUGAAAUUGCAAGCAGUUUGGACGAGUGUAUACAAUCCUGUGCUGAUGAUGCUUAGAAAUCAGGGAGCAAAAAUGCAAACUGUGGUUUUGCUGAAAGGAGACUUGGAUAAACCCUGUUGGGGAUGCAUAAGGAUGAAUGAACAUUCAGGAGGCAUUAAAUCUCAUGGGACGGCAUGGAUAUAAAUCUCGACAUAUUCAAAGAUCUGCAGAUUGAUCUUUAUGAAGUGAUGAGCAGAUGAGGUUAAAGUGAGGGGACAGUGGAGGUGGGUCCACUUUCAAAACCUGAAUACAAGACCGUAUUUAAUCUUGGCUUUUCUCUCAAAGAAGGGUAGGGAAGGGCAAAGAGGAGGAGCAGUCACCCCGGGAGCUGUCUCCCUGUGACCAGCGGAUGCACAGGGAGGUGAGAACAGAUGAAACUCAUUGCUACAAGGAUAAGGCUGCUCUUUCUGAACCUCCCUAGAAAUCCCAAUCACUGUAGAUCCUUAUUAAAUACUUGGAUGGAUACGAAGAGCUUAAGAGCUCUCAGUUUCCUCAUAUGUAAUAAAGGAAUGAGCGAUCUUCCUUCUUACUGCCGUAUUAUUAAGUCUAGGAAACUUUCAGCAAGAGGUCAAAGACUGCCUUCCAGAGAUACCUCCUGUGCCCAACGAGCGGACGAUGUUAUUUAUGAUCACUUAGAGUAAACAACAAACUGACUGGGAAACAUCUCUCAAAAUACUUGAUGAAAAGAGUUUCCUCACCUCCUAAUUUAUGAUACGCUUUUUAUGAAAAAUGUACCUUCACGUCUUCCUUCAAACGUUCAAUAUUUAAAGGCAAUAACAUUCGGGCUAGAAAUU